AGCGAACGCUGGCGGCAGGCCUAACACAUGCAAGUCGAGCGGCCGUAGCAAUACGGCAGCGGCAGACGGGAGAGUAACACGUGGGAACGUGCCCAUCAGUUCGGAACAACCCAGGGAAACUUGGGCUAAUACCGGAUACGCCCUUACGGGGAAAGAUUUAUCGCUGAUGGAGCGGCCCGCGUCUGAUUAGCUUGUUGGUGAGGUAACGGCUCACCAAGGCGACGAUCAGUAGCUGGUCUGAGAGGAUGAUCAGCCUCACUGGGACUGAGACACGGCCCAGACUCCUACGGGAGGCAGCAGUGGGGAAUAUUGGACAAUGGGCGCAAGCCUGAUCCAGCCAUGCCGCGUGGAUGAUGAAGGCCCUAGGGUUGUAAAGUCCUUUCGGCGGGGAGGAUAAUGACGGUAGUCGGAGAAGAAGCCCCGGCUAACUUCGUGCCAGCCGCCGCGGUAAAAC
rnacentral:rRNA from 1 species